UUUUUGGAGAGAGAAUUCGAGAGAGAACAAAAAGGGAAGGAACUUAGAGCUUGGGUAAGCUUCCAUCGAGCUGGAGCUACGCCGAAGUCGGCACGGAUCAUCACUUCCAUCCUAUUUCUCUUGUAAGCUUGUCUAGCUUCCAUGUCUAUGGAUAGCUAAGCUUUUCUUUGUUAGGAUUUGGUGUAGUACCUUGACUCUAUGUAUCUAAUUUAGUUCUUAU
rnacentral:lncRNA from 1 species